UGGGCGUAAGCGCGCGCAGGUGGUUCCUUAAGUCUGAUGUGAAAGCCCACGGCUCAACCGUGGAGGGUCAUUGGAAACUGGGGAACUUGAGUGCAGAAGAGGAAAGUGGAAUUCCAAGUGUAGCGGUGAAAUGCGUAGAGAUUUGGAGGAACACCAGUGGCGAAGGCGACUUUCUGGUCUGUAACUGACACUGAGGCGCGAAAGCGUGGGGAGCAAACAGGAUUAGAUACCCUGGUAGUCCACGCCGUAAACGAUGAGUGCUAAGUGUUAGAGGGUUUCCGCCCUUUAGUGCUGCAGCUAACGCAUUAAGCACUCCGCCUGGGGAGUACGGCCGCAAGGCUGAAACUCAAAGGAAUUGACGGGGGCCCGCACAACCGGUGGAGCAUGUGGUUUAAUUCAAACCAACGCGAAUAACCUUACCAGGUCUUGAC
rnacentral:rRNA from 2 species